UGCAGUCGAGCGGGGAAAGGUAGCUUGCUACCUGACCUAGCGGCGGACGGGUGAGUAAUGCUUAGGAAUCUGCCUAUUAGUGGGGGACAACAUUCCGAAAGGAAUGCUAAUACCGCAGACGCCCUACGGGGGAAAGCAGGGGAUCUUCGGACCUUGCGCUAAUAGAUGAGCCUAAGUCAGAUUACCUAGUUGGUGGGGUAAAGGCCUACCAAGGCGACGAUCUGUAGCGGGUCUGAGAGGAUGAUCCGCCACACUGGGACUGAGACACGGCCCAGACUCCUACGGGAGGCAGCAGUGGGGAAUAUUGGACAAUGGGCGAAAGCCUGAUCCAGCCAUGCCGCGUGUGUGAAGAAGGCCUUUUGGUUGUAAAGCACUUUAAGCGAGGAGGAGGCUACUUGGAUUAAUACUCUAGGAUAGUGGACGUUACUCGCAGAAUAAGCACCGGCUAACUCUGUGCCAGCAGCCGCGGUAAUACAGAGGGUGCGAGCGUUAAUCGGAUUUACUGGGCGUAAAGCGUGCGUAGGCGGCUUUUUUAAGUCGGAUGUGAAAUCCCUGAGCUUAACUUAGGAAUUGCAUUCGAUACUGGGAAGCUAGAGUAUGGGAGAGGAUGGUAGAAUUCCAGGUGUAGCGGUGAAAUGCGUAGAGAUCUGGAGGAAU
rnacentral:rRNA from 1 species